GGAGGAAAGUCCGGGCUCCAUAGGGCAGGAUGCCGGGUAACGCCCGGGGGGAGUGAUCCCAUGGAAAGUGCAACAGAGAGCAAACCGCCGAUGGCUCGGUUUCCGGGCACAGGCAAGGGUGAAACGGUGAGGUAAGAGCUCACCAGCGGUUCGGGUAACCGGAUCGGCUCGGUAAACCCCAUCCGGAGCAAGACCAAAUAGGGAAGCGUUUGAGGGCGGCCCGCCCAAUGCUUCCGGGUAGGUUGCUAGAGGUGCCGGGUAACCGGUACCCAAGAUGAAUGGCUGCCGCCGCCGGAGGCCCGGCGGAACAGAACCCGGCUUAUAGACCGACUCCGCUU
rnacentral:RNase_P_RNA from 1 species